rnacentral:rRNA from 1 species
GUCUGUGGCCAUGGCACCCUGAACACACCAAUCAUCAUCUAAUCUCAGAAGACAAGCAGGGUUGGGCCUAGUUAGUACUUGAGUGGGAAAAUAGACAAACUCAUUAAGUAUACUCUGCAUCUAUGUAUU